GAUGAACGCUGGCGGUAUGCUUAACACAUGCAAGUCGAACGGACUCUUCGGAGUUAGUGGCGGACGGGUGAGUAACGCGUGAGAAUCUGGCUUUGGGUUCGGGACAACCACUGGAAACGGUGGCUAAUACCGGAUGUGCCGAGAGGUAAAAGAGAAAUUGCCUGAAGAUGAGCUCGCGUCUGAUUAGCUAGUUGGUGAGGUAAAGGCUCACCAAGGCAGCGAUCAGUAGCUGGUCUGAGAGGAUGACCAGCCACACUGGGACUGAGACACGGCCCAGACUCCUACGGGAGGCAGCAGUGGGGAAUUUUCCGCAAUGGGCGAAAGCCUGACGGAGCAAUACCGCGUGAGGGAAGAAGGCUCUUGGGUUGUAAACCUCUUUUCUUAGGGAAGAACAAAAUGACGGUACCUAAAGAAUCAGCAUCGGCUAACUCCGUG
rnacentral:rRNA from 1 species